GAUGAACGCUAGCUACAGGCUUAACACAUGCAAGUCGAGGGGCAGCGCAGUGUAGCAAUACAUGGGCGGCGACCGGCGCACGGGUGCGUAACGCGUAUCCAACCUUCCCGUUACUCAGGGAUAGCCUUCCGAAAGGGAGAUUAAUACCUGAUGGUGUUGAAAUUCCGCAUGUUAUUUCAACUAAAGAUUUAUCGGUAACGGAUGGGGAUGCGUGACAUUAGAUAGUAGGCGGGGUAACGGCCCACCUAGUCUACGAUGUCUAGGGGUUCUGAGAGGAAGGUCCCCCACACUGGAACUGAGACACGGUCCAGACUCCUACGGGAGGCAGCAGUGAGGAAUAUUGGUCAAUGGUCGGAAGACUGAACCAGCCAAGUAGCGUGAAGGAUGAAGGUUCUAUGGAUUGUAAACUUCUUUUAUACGGGAAUAAAACCUCCCACGUGUGGGAGCUUGUAUGUACCGUAUGAAUAAGCAUCGGCUAACUCCGUGCCAGCAGCCGCAGUAACAC
rnacentral:rRNA from 1 species